GAGAAGAAGAAGAAAAAGAAGGGACUAAAGGAGAAGUUGAAGGAGAAGCUAGGAGGAGGAGAAGAGGAAAGGAAGGAAGAAGCUAAAGAACAUGAACACGAAGCAGUAGCCAUCCCAGUUGAGAAGGUGGACGAUGCCGCACAUCCUGAGGAAAAGAAAGGAUUCCUAGACAAGAUCAAGGAGAAGCUUCCAGGACACAACAAGAAGCCGGAGGAAGCGGCUCCGGAGGCGGCACCGUGCGCUGGCGAGGCUGCUCCUCAUCAUCAUGAAGAAGAUCAAGGAAAGGAAAAGAAGGGAUUUUUGGAGAAGAUCAAGGAGAAGCUCCCAGGUUACCAUGCUAAGGAGGAAGAGAAGCAUAAGGAGGAGGCAGCUUCUCAUUGAAGAUAUUGCAUAAUGGUUUAUCAUCAUUUGUGGGGUGGAUUUCUUAAUGCUUUAUUUUUAAUUAUGUGUUUUGUAAGAAUUAUAUAUGUGCUUUUUUGAUGUGCAUAUAUAUAUAUAUGGGAUUUGCUUUAAGGUGGGGAAGGGAUGUGUUUUCUUUUUCGUUGUCA
rnacentral:misc_RNA from 1 species